CCAGACUCCUACGGGAGGCAGCAGUGGGGAAUAUUGGACAAUGGGGGCAACCCUGAUCCAGCGACGCCGCGUGAGUGAAGAAGUAUUUCGGUAUGUAAAGCUCUAUCGAUAACGGAAGAAGAUGACAAGCCGUUAAGGAAGAAGCCCCGGCUAACUACGUGCCAGCAGCCGCGGUAAUACGUAGGGGGCAAGCGUUAUCCGGAUUUACUGGGUGUAAAGGGAGCGUAGACGGCAAAUAAAGUCUGAAGUGAAAUCCCGCAGCUCAACUGCGGAGUUGCUUUGGAAACUUAUAAGCUGGAGUGUCGGAGGGGUAAGCGGAAUUCCCAGUGUAGCGGUGAAAUGCGUAGAUAUUGGGAGGAACACCGGAGGCGAAGGCGGCUUACUGGAAGAUAACUGACGUUGAGGCUCGAAGGCGUGGGUAGCAAACAGGAUUAGAUACCCUGGUAGUCCACGCAGUAAACGAUGAAUACUAGGUGUCGGGAGGGAUAACCUUUUCGGUGCCGUCGCAAACGCAAUAAGUAUUCCACCUGGGGAGUACGUUCGCAAGAAUGAAACUCAAAGGAAUUGACGGGGGCCCGCACAAG
rnacentral:rRNA from 1 species